rnacentral:rRNA from 1 species
GAUGAACGCUGGCGGCGUGCCUAAUACAUGCAAGUCGAGCGAACAGACGAGGAGCUUGCUCCUCUGACGUUAGCGGCGGACGGGUGAGUAACACGUGGAUAACCUACCUAUAAGACUGGGAUAACUUCGGGAAACCGGAGCUAAUACCGGAUAAUAUAUUGAACCGCAUGGUUCAAUAGUGAAAGACGGUUUUGCUGUCACUUAUAGAUGGAUCCGCGCCGCAUUAGCUAGUUGGUAAGGUAACGGCUUACCAAGGCUACGAUGCGUAGCCGACCUGAGAGGGUGAUCGGCCACACUGGAACUGAGACACGGUCCAGACUCCUACGGGAGGCAGCAGUAGGGAAUAUUCCGCAAUGGGCGAAAGCCUGACGGAGCAACGCCGCGUGAGUGAUGAAGGUCUUCGGAUCGUAAAACUCUGUUAUUAGGGAAGAACAAAUGUGUAAGUAACUAUGCACGUCUUGACGGUACCUAAUCAGAAAGCCACGGCUAACUACGUG